ACGGGUGAGUAACGCGUGGGAACGUGCCCUUCGGUUCGGAAUAACUCAGGGAAACUUGAGCUAAUACCGGAUACGCCCUUAUGGGGAAAGGCUUGACUGCCGAAGGAUCGGCCCGCGUCUGAUUAGCUAGUUGGUGAGGUUACGGCUCACCAAGGCGACGAUCAGUAGCUGGUCUGAGAGGAUGAUCAGCCACACUGGGACUGAGACACGGCCCAGACUCCUACGAGAGGCAGCAGUGGGGAAUAUUGGACAAUGGGGGCAACCCUGAUCCAGCCAUGCCGCGUGAGUGAUGACGGCCUUAGGGUUGUAAAGCUCUUUUCUCCGGGACGAUAAUGACGGUACCGGAGGAAUAAGCCCCGGCUAACUUCGUGCCAGCAGCCGCGGUAAUACGAAGGGGGCUAGCGUUGCUCGGAAUCACUGGGCGUAAAGGGCGCGUAGGCGGCUGAUUUAGUCGAGGGUGAAAGCCCGUGGCUCAACCACGGAAUGGCCUUCGAUACUGGUUGGCUUGAGACCGGAAGAGGACAGCGGAACUGCGAGUGUAGAGGUGAAAUUCGUAGA
rnacentral:rRNA from 1 species